UACGAAGGGGGCUAGCGCUGUUCGGAAUAACUGGGCGUAAAGCGCACGUAGGCGGAUUUGUAAGUCAGGGGUGAAAUCCCGGGGCUCAACCUCGGAACUGCCUUUGAUACUGCGAGUCUGGAGUCCGGAAGAGGUGAGUUGAAUUCCUAGUGUGGAGGUGAAAUUCGUAGAUAUUAGGAAGAACACCAGUGGCGAAGGCGGCUCGCUGGGCCGGUACUGACUAUGAGGUGCGAAAGCGUGGGGAGCAAACAGG
rnacentral:rRNA from 1 species